rnacentral:rRNA from 1 species
GAUGAACGCUAGCGACAGGCCUAACACAUGCAAGUCGAGGGGCAGCAUUUAAUAAGCUUGCUUAUUAAGAUGGCGACCGGCGCACGGGUGAGUAACGCGUAUCCAACCUUCCCCUUACUCAGGAAUAGCCCGUUGAAAGACGGAUUAAUGCCUGAUGUUCUCAUGUUGCCGCAUGGCGAUAUGAGCAAAGAUUCAUCGGUAAGGGAUGGGGAUGCGUAUGAUUAGCUUGUUGGCGGGGUAACGGCCCACCAAGGCAACGAUCAUUAGGGGUUCUGAGAGGAAGGUCCCCCACACUGGAACUGAGACACGGUCCAGACUCCUACGGGAGGCAGCAGUGGGGAAUAUUGGGCAAUGGAGGCAACUCUGAACCAGCCAAGUAGCGUGCAGGAUGACGGCCCUAUGGGUUGUAAACUGCUUUUAUGCGGGGAUAAAUGAUCCUACGUGUAGGUUUUUGCAGGUACCGCAUGAAUAAGGACCGGCUAAUUCCGUG